GCCGCCAAUAUACCAGCACGUACCAGUUCCUCAGCCGACAGUUUACCAGCAACAGCCGGACUGGUCGGCACAUAUAGCAGAGGUGAUUCAGGAACAAUUCGGCUUGAAACCGAAGGUGCAGACCUACACAUACAGGACACCGUACCCGCCUACAUACGACUUACUGCCGUUUCCUCAUCGGUAUAAAGUUCCUGAUUUCACCAAGUUUUCGGGGCUGGACGACACCUCAUCCGUAGAACACGUG
rnacentral:lncRNA from 1 species